UAGGCUAGGACACUGAGUAAUUCCACGCUUCCUAGAAAAGCCGCGUACGGAGCCCCUUUGGUGAUCGUACUGCAAACCGACUCAGGUGGACGGGGUGAAUAUCCCAAGGCGCGUGAGAGAACCCUGGUUAAGGAACUCGCAAAUUGACACCGUAACUUCGGGAGAAGGUGUGCCGCUGGCGGUUAGUGACUUCGCGUCACGAAGCUGUCGGUGGUCGCAGUGAAAUGGCGGUUGUGACUGUUUACUAAAAACACAGGACUCUGCGAAGUCGUAAGACGACGUAUAGGGUCUGAUGCCUGCCCGGUGCUGGAAGGUUAAGGGGAUAUGUCAGCGCAAGCGAAGCAUUGAACCGAAGCCCCAGUAAACGGCGGCCGUAACAAUAACGGUCCUAAGGUAGCGAAAUUCCUUGUCGGGUAAGUUCCGACCUGCACGAAGGCAUAACAACAUCCGCACUGUCUCGACCAGGGACUCAGCGAAAUUACAUUGGGGGUGAAGAUGCCCUCUACCCGCGGAAAGACGGAAAGACCCCAUAAACCUUUACUGCAACUUGGCAGUGAUUUUCGGGUUGUUCUGCGUAGGAUAGGUGGGAGGCUUUGAAGCCGUGCUUCCGGGUUCGGCAGAGCCAACGUUGAAAUACCACCCUGAAUAAUCUGGAAAUCUAACCUGCGCCCAUGAUCUGGGCGAGGGACACUGCCUGGUGGGCAGUUUGACUGGGGCGGUCGCCUCCUAAAUUGUAACGGAGGCGUGCGACGGUUCCCUCAGGCUGAUUGGAAACCAGCCGUAGAGUGCAAACGCAUAAGGGAGCUUUACUGCGAGACUGACAAGUCGAACAGUUGCGAAAGCAGGUGUUAGUGAUCCGGUGGUACCACAUGGAAGGGCCAUCGCUCAUCGGAUAAAAGGUACUCUGGGGAUAACAGGCUGAUCGCGCCUGAGAGUUCACAUCGGCGGCGCGGUUUGGCACCUCGAUGUCGGCUCAUCGCAUCCUGGGCUGGAGCAGGUCCCAAGGGUUUGGCUGUUCGCCAAUUAAAGCGGUACGCGAGCUGGGUUUAAAACGUCGUGAGACAGUUUGGUCCCUAUCUUCCGUGGGCGCAGGACACUUGAGAGGAGCUAUCCAUAGUACGAGAGGACCUGGAUGGACGAACCUCUGGUGCUCCGGUUGUCACGCCAGUGGCAUAGCCGGGUAGCCAUGUUCGGAACAGAUAACCGCUGAAGGCAUAUAAGCGGGAAGUUGGCCUCAAGACUAGGUGUCCCUGACGCAAGUCACUAAAGGCCCCUCGAAGACUACGAGGUUGAUAGGCUCGGUGUGGAAGCGCUGCGAGGCGUGGAGCUAACGAGUACUAAUAGGCCGUGCGACUUGACCUC
rnacentral:rRNA from 1 species